rnacentral:rRNA from 1 species
UACGGAGGGUGCAAGCGUUGUCCGGAAUCACUGGGCGUAAAGGGCGCGUAGGCGGCGCGGUAAGUCGGGUGUGAAAUCUUGGAGCUUAACUCCGAAACUGCAUUCGAUACUGCCGUGCUUGAGGACUGGAGAGGAGACUGGAAUUUACGGUGUAGCGGUGAAAUGCGUAGAUAUCGUAAGGAACACCAGUGGCGAAGGCGGCUCACUGGCCCGGUACUGACGCUGAGGUGCGAAAGCGUGGGGAGCAAACAGG